UCACAUCUUACGAUGGCAGUGUCCACGGAGUGCCCGGCAUUACCCGAUGGCAACCGAGGAGAAGGGUUGCGCUCGUUAUGGCACUUAAGCCGACACCUCACGGCACGAGCUGACGACAACCAUGCAGCACCUCCAACGGUGUCCGAAGAAAAAUCUAUCUCUAGAUCUGUCACCGUUAGUUCAAGCCCGGGUAAGGUUCCUCGCGUAUCAUCGAAUUAAACCACAUGUUCCUCCGCUUGUGCGGGCCCCCGUCAAUUCCUUUGAGUUUCACCGUUGCCGGCGUACUCCCCAGGUGGUAUACUUAAUGCUUUCGCUUGGCGGCUUACAAUCUAUCGCAAACCGCGAGUAUACAUCGUUUACUGUGUGGACUAC
rnacentral:misc_RNA from 1 species